rnacentral:rRNA from 1 species
AGCGAACGCUGGCGGCAGGCCUAACACAUGCAAGUCGAACGAACUCUUCGGAGUUAGUGGCGGACGGGUGAGUAACACGUGGGAACGUGCCUUUUGGUUCGGAAUAACUCAGGGAAACUUGUGCUAAUACCGAAUGUGCCCUUCGGGGGAAAGAUUUAUCGCCAUUAGAGCGGCCCGCGUCUGAUUAGCUAGUUGGUGAGGUAACGGCUCACCAAGGCGACGAUCAGUAGCUGGUCUGAGAGGAGGACCAGCCACACUGGGACUGAGACACGGCCCAGACUCCGACGGGAGGCAGCAGUGGGGAAUCUUGCGCAAUGGGCGAAAGCCUGACGCAGCCAUGCCGCGUGAAUGAUGAAGGGCUUAGGAUUGUAAAAUUCUUUCACCGGGGACGAUAAUGACGGUACCCGGAGAAGAAGCCCCGGCUAACUUCGUG